ensembl:lncRNA
GGUGGAGCGGUACAGGCCUUGACCCCAAAGGCGAGGCCUUUCUGCGACUGCCAGGUUGGGGAGCUCCGAGAAUGUGCCAACAGACGGCAGAAUACGUGGUUCCCUGCUCCACAAAAAACAAGUAUACUUGACAGCUAAGGACAGCCAUUAGAAAGAAGAGGUACUAGAAGCUAUACAAGUUUGUACUGAGGAUACAAGCCACUUACUGGAACUUAACCUCUCUGGGAGCCUUAUAAAAUGAGUGCAAACAAUAUAUCAUGCAUGCUAAGUCACUUCAGUCAUGUCCAACUCUUUGCAACCCUAUGGACUAUAGCCCUCCAAGCUCCCCUAUACACAGGAUUCUCCAGAAACUCCUUUACGAACCUUCUCCUUUCUCUUCCUGCCACUCAUCUGAGAGAGGUUCUCCAGGCCAGUCCUGGAAAAUUCCAGGACAAGGGGACCACUCGCAGAAUCCAGGUUGUCCCAGUGCAGCGGCUUUGAGUGCCCUGUUUCAUGCAUCGAACUUGGACCGGUCAUCCACUUCACAUGUGGCUUUUUAGUUGCACUGCACUGGCUCAGUUGCCCUGGGGCUUGUGCCCUCUUACUUCCCCAUCCAGGGAUGGAACCCAUAUCCCCUGUAUUGCAAGGUGAAUUCUUAACUACUGGAUCGCCAGCAAAGUCCCAGAAACUUGCAGUUUCUCUAAAGGUACUGAGAUGUGUCCUGGAGAACAUGGUGGAUCUGCAGAGCAGACAGACUCACCCAGGAUCUUCACCUCACCUGAGUCUGGAGUGGAGAGGGAAGAGGAGAAAGACAAUUGCCAAAUCAUGGUAUUGAGUGGAUUAUCACCCCUGCGCUGUGGAGGAAUGGAUUAAUGUCUGAGGUGCAGCAAAAAGAGAACACUGCCUUCCUCACAAGCAAAGUGGGCAAAGGCUGCAGCUGGAUGGCAGGACUUUCAGCCUAGAGGGGCCACUGCAUAUGACGCCAGAGGACCCCCGCCUUAGUGGCCCUCCCCACACUGCCUCCUGUCACACUGAGGGAAGGAGAAGCUUGGCAGGAAGACCUCUAGCUCUGAUUUGCAGACCUGGCAGAGCUAACCCAAAGGUCCAGGAGCUUUUAUCUUCUCCCAGAACUUUGACUCCUCAGAAUCAAUAAAG